CCUACGGUGUGCUGCAGUGGGGAAUAUUGCACAAUGGGCGCAAGCCUGAUGCAGCCAUGCCGCGUGUGUGAAGAAGGCCUUCGGGUUGUAAAGCACUUUCAGCGGGGAGGAAGGCGGUGAGGUUAAUAACCUCAUCGAUUGACGUUACCCGCAGAAGAAGCACCGGCUAACUCCGUGCCAGCAGCCGCGGUAAUACGGAGGGUGCAAGCGUUAAUCGGAAUUACUGGGCGUAAAGCGCACGCAGGCGGUCUGUCAAGUCGGAUGUGAAAUCCCCGGGCUCAACCUGGGAACUGCAUUCGAAACUGGCAGGCUAGAGUCUUGUAGAGGGGGGUAGAAUUCCAGGUGUAGCGGUGAAAUGCGUAGAGAUCUGGAGGAAUGCCGAUGGCGAAGGCGGCCCCCUGGACAAAGACUGACGCUCAGGUGCGAAAGCGUGGGGAGCAAACAGGAUUAGAUACCUUGUAGUC
rnacentral:rRNA from 1 species